rnacentral:snRNA from 1 species
GUACUAGCUACAGUGGUACAUAUUCUAAAAUUGGAACGAUGCAGAGAAGAUUAGCAUGGCCUCUGCGCAAGGAUGACACACAAAUUCAUGAAGCGUUCCAUAUAUUU